AGUAACACGUAGGUAACCUGCCCAUGUGCCCGGGAUAACUUCUGGAAACGGAUGCUAAAACCGGAUAGGUAGCAGACAAGCAUUUGACUGCUAUUAAAGUGGCUAAGGCCAUGAACAUGGAUGGACCUGCGGUGCAUUAGCUAGUUGGUGAGGUAACGGCCCACCAAGGCGACGAUGCAUAGCCGGCCUGAGAGGGCGGACGGCCACAUUGGGACUGAGACACGGCCCAAACUCCUACGGGAGGCAGCGUG
rnacentral:rRNA from 1 species